rnacentral:rRNA from 1 species
CCUACGGGAGGCAGCAGUGGGGAAUAUUGCGCAAUGGGGGAAACCCUGACGCAGCAACGCCGCGUGAGUGAUGAAGGUCUUCGGAUUGUAAAACUCUGUCUUUUGGGACGAUAAUGACGGUACCAAAGGAGGAAGCCACGGCUAACUACGUGCCAGCAGCCGCGGUAAUAA